rnacentral:rRNA from 1 species
GACGAACGCUGGCGGCAGGCCUAACACAUGCAAGUCGAACGCUGUAGCAAUACAGAGUGGCGGACGGGUGCGUAACGCGUGGGAACGUGCCCUUUGCUACGGACUAGCCCAGGGAAACUGCGCGUAAUACCGCAUGUGCCCGAACGGGGCACCAUGUGUCGGCACAGGAUCGGCCCGCGUUGGACUAGGUAGUUGGUGGGGUAAUGGCCUACCAAGCCGACGAUCCAUAGCUGGUUUGAGAGGAUGAUCAGCCACACUGGGACUGCGACACGGCCCAGACUCCUACGGGAGGCAGCAGUGGGGAAUCUUAGACAAUGGGGGAAACCCUGAUCUAGCCAUGCCGCGUGAGCGAUGAAGGCCUUAGGGUUGUAAAGCUAUUUCAGUGGGGAAGAUAAUGACGGUACCCACAGAAGAAGCCCCGGCUAACUCCGUGCCAGCCGCCGCGGUAAAAC